CACAGCUGGAAGCCUGUCUGCAAGGGAAGCCCAUCUAGUCCUCACAGGGUCACAACAUGGGCUGUGUUUGUGGCUGGGAGCCAUGCCUGGCCCACGAGCCUACUGCCAUCUCCUGCCAAGGCCUGUCUGUUCUCGGACAGGCCACUAAUGGCGGCAGCUGACAACCCUUCAGGACUCAAGGUGCUGGGGCAAGUCAAGGGUCCUCAGUUCCUGGAUCAGACCCAUAUCUGCCACCCCCUGGAGCAGCUCUUUUCCCACCGAUAGUACAGGUGAGCCUUCAGCAAUGUGGGAGUACCGACCUUCACACAAUCAAUAAUUCCAUAUGAUGUUGGACCUCCGUAUGCAGGUUCGGCAUUGUUGGAUUCAACCAACAAACACCCACCUAUAAAUGGACCUGACAAGUUCAAACCCACGUUGUUCAAGAGUAUUUCUCUUCUCUGUCUGUUUCCCUUCUGGAUGCCACGUUCCUCAGCGGUGACCACUGAGUCAGACUUAUUUUAGUAAUUAACCCAAACACUUAGCCCAGUCCUGGCACUCAUUAGGUCGAACCUGAGCUGCACUGAAGUCAUCUGGAUGGCUUGUCAAAAUGUAUUGCUGGUCUCCAUCCCCACAGUUUCUGAAGCUGCUGGUCCCAGGAUCACACUUUGAAAACCAGUGUAGUAGAUGCUCAAUAAAGUUCUGUGCCAUGGGUGGAUGAAUU